rnacentral:tRNA from 1 species
GUGGGUUGGCUCAGUGGUUACAGCGUAGGUCUCGUAACCGAAAGGCCUCGGGAUCGAAUCCGCUUGAGGCUGACA